CCAAUAGCGUAUAUUAAGGUUGCUGCGGUUAAAAAGCUCGUAGUUGAAUUUCGGGAUUGACACAUCGGUCGUGCCUUAAGGGGUAUGAACUGGCGUAGCCAAUUCCUCGUCUUCUGGUGAAUUGUGAUGCCUCUUUAACUGGGUGUUUCAAUGAACUAGGACUUUUACUUUGAAAAAAUUAGAGUGUUUAAAGCAGACAU
rnacentral:rRNA from 1 species